ensembl:lincRNA
AUGGCUGGCCCCUCCCCUUGGAGGAGACCCUCUCAGGCCAGGCCUGGUUGGUUGCUGGGGACAGAAAGUGGCUGUCAGCUCAGGAGGGUGUGGUUUGGCAGGGUUCAAGUCCAGGAUCAAGCAGCAGCUCCUGGGGCCUGGGGGCUGGGCCGGGGGCUCUGCUCUCCUUACGGGCCAUCCUCUUUGCUUGCGUCUGUGGGUCAGCUUCACCCUCCUGCCUCUGCUGAUGUCCUCAUCCAGGCUGGAGGCCAGCGCGGGGGCAGGCGUCCCGGACUCCGGCCUCUGGAGCAGGUGCGGGGCUGUGGGAGCUUGCCUGGGAGGCCCUGCACUGGGGUCCCUAUGCGCCUGCUCGGCCAGGCCCUCCACGGUCACCUGCCCCACCCUGGGCCCUUGGCCAUCUCACUACAGCUCGUCCCCGGGUGUCGAGGCCACCUCGGCUCGACUCCCCUCUGUCUGCUGGGUCCUAAAGGAGCCCUGGAUCCCAGGGUGUCUGGGUCGGGGUGGGCACAGCCACACAGAGGCAGCUCUUUCCCCCCAGGGGGCCUCUGAACCCUGUGCUCCCUGACCUGUGACCUCUAUCCUGGCGGAUGCUCCUGAAUGUGUCUCAUCUCAACCUUCAAGAAUGUUCCAGCAUCUAUCCCCCAAGAUGCCUCUCAGUCCCUACCCUCAAAGUAGGAGCCUUUCCUAGUCUGAUCUCUGCUUAGGCCAGACAGCCACUCUCAACUGGGGGUGCCCAGGCCCCCAGGGAAUGUUCCACAGCAUCUGGAGGCAUCCUGAGGGUCGUGCCUGGGGAGCUGCUCCAGGAGCAGAGGGGAGAGACCACCGUUGUGGCUAGCUCUCCUCUGCGCCCGGGACGGGCCCUGGGUCAGGAGCACUGGGGCGGAGACGCCCAGGUAGAUUCCCGCAGAGCUCCCUGGUCCCCCACUGGGUGGGAGCAGGUGCUGGGAGACACGUGAGCUCUCAUUUGGAUUUUUUGUGCAUUUCCAUUUUUUAUCCUGAAAAUGCAUUAUCUCUAUAAUGAAAAAACAGACAUUAUCCGAGACAUUAGGGGAAGAGGCAAACACCAUUUGCUUAUCAUCCUGGGACCCAGGUGCGUUGUUGGGCGGAGCCCGGGGGUGGUGGUGGAGCAGCUCCCUUGACCUCUGAGUUAGGAGGUCCCUGGCGGCAGGUGAUAGAUGGGGGCCCAGGCCUGCCGCCCUCUCCCCCAUCACAUCCGCUGGAGGCCUCAGGACCUCUCGCAGCUCUGAUGACUCACAGCCUGAUGGCCUGGAGGAGCACGGCCAGUCCCACCAGACACUGCCCUCAGGCCUCAUCAAAGAGGGGCCCACAGGGGUGCUGGGAUCAUGGACGUGACCUCAUCCCCAAGUACAGCAUGGAAAGGACAACUGCCAGGUGCUGGGAGCCCAUACUCUGCCCCAGGACACUGAGGUCCCGCCCCCAGAGGACACUUGGAACGACAACUGCCAGGUGCUGGGAGCCCAUACUCUGCCCCAGGACACUGAGGUCCCGCCCCCCAGAGGACACUUGGGACAACCCCCAUGUCUACCCUGACCCGGGUGCCCCUAAUAACGGCCCUGGGCUCUGUGACUCCAGCAAAGAGAGUGUUAGGCAGAAGGUGCUUUCACCCCUAAUUAGCUCACGUGAUUCACUUCUCCUAACCUUGAGGCAAGGUCCUCGGUGCUGGAAACUUACCAGGGGGAUAGGCCUGCAGGUGAAUUGGGGUCGUGGUAGCAGACAGGCAGGAGGCCCCUUUCCUCCGUAAGACUGCUAUUGGUCCCACGGGGUUGGCUGCCCACCUUGUUCCCACGGUUAUGUUGUGGUUGACGGGCUGAUGUCAGCAUGAAACACUCCCAGGCUCACACUGGUGCUAGCCUUGGGGCAUACGAUGGCUCAGAAACUCCCUGCUUGUAACAUGGUCCAUUUUAACUUCCUACUGCUGACAUGCCUCCUGCAAAUGGCACUGGAGGCUGGGAGGGUUGUUUGUCUUCAAGGCUGGCGCAGAGAAGGACGUUUGACCACAAGGCUGAGACUGCCUCCCCAUCCCACGAGCUGGUCCGCUUUCUCCUGCUCCCCUCAGGGAGCAGGGGCUUUCAGGACCACCCCCAGCAUAGCCAAAGGGACUCCCAGACCACCUCCAUUUCUGCACUUUGUGCACCCACAGACAUGCCCAUCCCUCUCGCCAGACAGAGGAGCCGAGGUCCCGCUCAGUCAUCCAUCAUACCUGCGUCCUCAGUUGCUCAGCUGUGUCUGACUCUUUGUGACCCCAGGGACUGUAGCCCGCCAGGCUCCUCUGUCCAUGGGAUUUCCCAGGCGAGAAUACUGGAGUGGGCUGCCAUUUCCUCCUCCAGGGAUCUUCUUUACCCCGUGAUCGAACCAGUGUCUCCUGCCGUCUCCUGAAUUGGAGCCACAUAGGAAGCCCCAGUCACCCUGAGUGAAGUGAGUGAGUGAAGUCGCUCAGUCGUGUCCGACUCUUUGCGACCCCAUGAACUGUAGCCCACCAGGCUCCUCCAUCCAUGGGAUUUUCCUGGCAAGAAUACUGGAGUGGGUUGCCAUUUCCUUCUCCAGGAGAUCUUCUCAACCCAGGGAUUGAACCCAGGUCUCCCGCAUUGUAGGCAGACGCUUUACCGUCUGAGCCACCAGGGAAGUCUCCAGUCACCCUGACCUGUGGCCAAAUGCGUGAUGAGCUCCUGCAGGGCACCGGGUACCCUCCAGACACCAAGGCUCAGAGACACAGAGGCAGGACCUGUCUCCUGGAGGUCAUGGCUGCGAAGGGAAACCCAAGGGUCAGGAAUGGACCCUUCCUUGUGCUCUGGCUCCUGUUCGGGAGCACGGAUUGUCUGCCUGCCUCAUCCCCAAAGGCUUUUCUUUUCUUUUUUUAAAUAUAAAUUUAUUUAUUUUCAUUGGAGGUUAAUUACUUUACAAUAUUGUGUUGGUUUUGCCAUACAUCAACAUGAAUCCGCCACAGGUAUACAUGUGUUCCCCAUCCUGAACCCCCCUCCCUCCUCCCUCCCUGUACCAUCCCUCUGGGUCAUCCCAGUGCACCAGCCCCAAGCAUCCAGUAUCCUGCAUUGAACCUGGACUGGCGAUUCAUUUCAUAUAUGAUAUUAUACAUGUUUCAAUGCCAUUCUCCCAAAUCAUCCCACCCUCUCCCUCUCCCCCAGAGUCCAAAAGACUGUUCUGUACAUCUGUGUCUCUUUUACUGUCUCGCAUACAG